AUUGAACGCUGGCGGCAUGCCUUACACAUGCAAGUCGAACGGUAACGGGCCUUCGGGUGCCGACGAGUGGCGAACGGGCGAGUAAUACAUCGGAACGUGCCCGAUCGUGGGGGUUAACGAGGCGAAAGCUUUGCUAAUACCGCAUACGAUCUACGGAUGAAAGCAGGGGACCGCAAGGCCUUGCGCGGACGGAGCGGCCGAUGGCAGAUUAGGAAGUUGGUGGGAUAAUAGCUUACCAAGCCGACGAUCUGUAGCUGGACUGAGAGGAUGAUCAGCCACACUGGGACUGAGACACGGCCCAGACUACUACGGGAGGCAGCAGUGGGGAAUUUUGGACAAUGGGGGCAAGCCUGAUCCAGCCAUGCCGCGUGCAGGAUGAAGGCCUUCGGGUUGUAAACUGCUUUUGUACGGAACGAAAAGCCUUCUUUUAAUACAGGGGGGUCAUGACGGUACCGGAAGAAUAAGCACCGGCUAACUACGUG
rnacentral:rRNA from 1 species